GACGUACGCUGGCGGCGUGCUUAACACAUGCAAGUCGAACGGAAAGGCCCUGCUUUUGUGGGGUGCUCGAGUGGCGAACGGGUGAGUAACACGUGAGUAACCUGCCCUUGACUUUGGGAUAACUUCAGGAAACUGGGGCUAAUACCGGAUAGGAGCUCCUGCUGCAUGGUGGGGGUUGGAAAGUUUCGGCGGUUGGGGAUGGACUCGCGGCUUAUCAGCUUGUUGGUGGGGUAGUGGCUUACCAAGGCUUUGACGGGUAGCCGGCCUGAGAGGGUGACCGGCCAAAUGGGGACGGGGAUCCGGCCCGGACUCAUACGGGGGGAAGGAGUGGGGAAUAUUGCCAAAUGGGGGGAAGCCUGAUGCAGAAACGCCGGGUGGGGGAUGACGGCUUUGGGGUUGUAAACCGUUUUCGCCUGUGAGGAAGCGUGGGGAGGGGAAAUGGGAAAAGAAGCACCGGCAACCUAGGU
rnacentral:rRNA from 1 species